rnacentral:rRNA from 1 species
CAGCAGCCGGGUAAAACGAACCGUGCGAACGUUAUUCGGAAUUACUGGGCUUAAAGCGCGUGUAGGCGGGCCGCCACGUCGGUCGCUGAAAUCCCCCGGCUCAACCGGGGAAGUGGCAUCGAUACGAGCGGCCUUGAGGGGGGUAGGGGGAUCUGGAACCUCCGGUGGAGCGGUGAAAUGCGUUGAGAUCGGAAGGAACGCCCGUGGCGAAGGCGACUCUCUGGUCUGUAACUGACGCUGAGGAGCGAAAGCGUGGGGAGCGAACAGGAUUAGAUACCCGCGUAGUCCCUGUCUCUUAUAC